UACGUUUAGAUAGACUCUGCAAACACAUCGCUCUGCCUCUACCUCUCUCUUCCUCUGCUUCUGCCUCUGCCUCUGCCUUUGUCCCGCCCCUUUUCAUAUAACCAAAGAAAGCUGUACACGAAUUCAAUAGAAAUUUCAUUUUACUUCCACACAGCCCUCAAUAGUGGCCCAAUUUUCAUAUUUAUACAGAAUUUACUAAUGUACCAAUUUAAUAGUAUCUGGUGUAAUGGAAAGUAUUUUACAUACUCCCUCCUGUCAGCUGUGUCAAUUAUUUACUUCGGCUGCUAAACAACAAACUUUGAGUUGUGUAAAGAAUUUUUGGUUUCUGCAUCGUAGGCAGGUGAAGUGGUGCAAUAAAAAUUAUAAAGCCAAAUUCUUGCUGGGCCUGGAAACAGUUUUUGUAGUGAAAAUUUAUGAAUUAUAUUGAAGUCAAGAUAUAAAUGGAUUUCUACUGAUAUUCCAUUUGGCACAAAAUCAAAUUGAAGUCGCAAACUUUUGGUUAUGCCUCAAAAGGACGGCUGUCUGGCUGUCUGGCUGUCUUGCAUGGCACUACUUUAAUGCCAAAAACAUUUUUGCCAUUUCGUGACCAAAUUUCGAGCACUAUCACGUGUGUUACACACGCACACUCGUUUACACACACCUGCCUAUCCAGGCAGCCAUGAGCUAGGGAUCGUGCUUUUGUUUUUACUCGAAGGCGGAAAACGUUUUCCAUUGGCAGCAACAUUGGCGAACUGACGAUAUAGUGAACAUUGGCCUGGACUUUAUUAAAAUGGAAAUUAACAGUUAAGGAAAUGGGAGUUUAUAAUUGGCUUCCAAUAAUAUAAUGAGGAAUCGGCUAUAUAUAUUUAUU